AAUAAUCGGAUACGUACAAUCGAGAAGAGGUCCCUUUACGGUAUGGAUAUCAAUCGAGUGCGACUCCAGAACAACAACCUCGUUACAUUGAGUGGAAUAUUUGACGGAUUACCUGAACUGGAGAGAUUGAACCUCUCCAGCAAUGACAUCAAACACAUAGAUGAAGGUGACUUCCAGGACCAAAUUAACCUCUUAAUUCUUGAUUUGAGCGUCAAUCCAAUCACUCGCAUCGAUCCUGGCGUAUUCGUUUACACCAUACGUCUGGA